GUAAAUCUUUUAAAGCCCUU
rnacentral:siRNA from 1 species